rnacentral:lncRNA from 1 species
ACCCUGUAAGGGGACUGGAAAGUCCAGCCCAAACGCUCUCUUGGGAAAGGAACAAAGUCCCGGUGGGUUACAACCUGACCCUAGGAGUAAAAGAUGUUAAGGCCUGCCAUGGAAAUUAAAAACUUCCGUCGGGCGAUGCUAUCAGAGAGGAGAGAACCAAGGGGGUCCUGCUGCAUCUCUGGCUCUAGCAGCUCGGACAAGAUCCCGAACAUACUUCAUCACGAAAUGAGAGAGGAAAACCAGCAGGCUUUCCAGGUAUGGCUUAGCAAGGCCUCGUUCCCACGGCAUCCACCUGGGCUCCCCGCCCAAGGGUGGCAGGCGGCCCUAGCAGGAGGAGAUCGGGAGCGAAUGGGAGAGCUGGUCAGGAAGGUGGUGUAGGGACCAUCCCCAAAUAC